rnacentral:lncRNA from 1 species
AAUAUGUCUGCUUUGUAUAUAUUAGCAUAGAGUUUCCUCCAAUAUUUACUAGAGGGAACUCUGGCGCUAGUGUUUAUGGGAGCUGCAAUGCAUGGCGCUUCAACCAGCAUGGGAGUGAUGGGUAGUAACGGAUAUGUCUAAACUUCCUUCCUUCGGCU